CCGAGGACUCGCGCCCACCCCCGUCGGUGGGCCGAACCCCCCCCGUGCGUCCCCUACCGUGUUGCCUUGGCGGGCCCGUCCCAGCGACCGUCGACGCCCACGAGCAUCGGCGAGCGCCCGCCAGAGGCCCCCAGACCCGUGCCCGUCCUGCGUCUCGUCUGAGUAGGGAGCGAAACAUCA
rnacentral:misc_RNA from 1 species